rnacentral:rRNA from 1 species
UACGGGGGGAGCAAGCGUUGUUCGGAUUUACUGGGCGUAAAGGGCGCGUAGGCGGCCAGCACAAGUCAGUUGUGAAAUCUCCGAGCUUAACUCGGAAAGGUCAACUGAUACUGUGCGGCUAGAGUGCGGAAGGGGCAACUGGAAUUCUUGGUGUAGCGGUGAAAUGCGUAGAUAUCAAGAGGAACACCGGUGGCGAAGGCGGGUCUCUGGGCCGAUACUGACGCUGAGGAGCGAAAGCGUGGGGAGCGAACAGG